rfam:Triticum aestivum genome assembly, contig: Triticum_aestivum_CS42_TGACv1_scaffold_049441_1BS
AUAAUACUCCCUCCGUUCCGAAUUACUUGUCUUAGAUUUGUCUAGAUACGGAUGUAUGUAGCACUAAAAUCUAGAUACAUCCGUAUCUACCCAAAUCCAAGACAAGUAGUUUGGAAUGGAGGGAGUACACA